rnacentral:rRNA from 1 species
AGUGGGGAAUCUUGCGCAAUGGGCGAAAGCCUGACGCAGCAACGCCGCGUGAACGAUGAAGGCCUUCGGGUCGUAAAGUUCUGUCAGGGGGGAAGAAUAAAUGACGGUACCCCCGGAGGAAGCCCCGGCUAACUACGUGCCAGCAGCCGCGGUAAUACGUAGGGGGCGAGCGUUGUCCGGAAUUACUGGGCGUAAAGGGCGUGUAGGCGGCCGAUCAAGUCAGGUGUGAGAUUUCAGGGCUCAACCCUGACCGUGCACUUGAAACUGGUUGGCUUGAGUGCAGGAGAGGAAAGUGGAAUUCCCAGUGUAGCGGUGAAAUGCGUAGAUAUUGGGAGGAACACCAGUGGCGAAGGCGACUUUCUGGCCUGUAACUGACGCUGAGGCGCGAAAGCUAGGGGAGCAAACAGGAUUAGAUACCCUGGUAGUCCUAGCCGUAAACGAUGGGUACUAGGUGUAGGGGGUUUAGACGCCCUCUGUGCCGCAGUUAACACAUUAAGUACCCCGCCUGGGNAGUACGGCCGCAAGGCUG